rnacentral:misc_RNA from 1 species
GUGAAUCAUCGAAUUUUUGAACGCAUAUUGCACUUUCUGGUAUUCCGGAAAGUAUGCCUGUUUGAGGGUCAGUUAAAUAAAAAUCGGUGUUAUUGCUAUUAAUGGUGAUGAAUCGGACUUGAGUCGUCUUUACUUUUGGUUUUAUGUGAAUUAAAAUUAUGUACGAUUUCUGAACGUAUUUAAUUUAUUUACUUACGCUCAUGUUAUAAAAUAUAAGGUGCGGUCAUCUACAUCAUUUU